CCUACGGGGGGCAGCAGUGGGGAAUAUUGGACAAUGGGGGGAACCCUGAUCCAGCGACGCCGCGUGAGUGAAGAAGUAUUUCGGUAUGUAAAGCUCUAUCAGCAGGGAAGAAAAUGACGGUACCUGACUAAGAAGCCCCGGCUAAACACGUGCCAGCAGCCGCGGUAAUACGUAGGGGGCAAGCGGUAUCCGGAUUUACUGGGUGGAAAGGGAGCGGAGGCGGUACAGCAAGUCUGAUGUGAAAGGUCGGGGCCCAACCCCGGUACUGCAUUGGAAACUGUUGGACUAGAGUGCAGGCGAGGUAGGCGGAAUUCCUGGUGUAGCGGUGAAAUGCGUAGAGAUCAGGAGGAACACCGGUGGCGAAGGCGGCUUACUGGACUGUAACUGACGUUGAGGCUCGAAAGCGUGGGGAGCAAACAGGAUUAGAUACCCGAGUAGUC
rnacentral:rRNA from 1 species